UGGGGAAUUUUGCACAAUGGGGGAAACCCUGAUGCAGCGACGCCGCGUGAUUUAGAAGGCCUUCGGGUUGUAAAAAUCUUUUUUACGGGAUGAAAAUGACAGUACCGUAAGAAUAAGGUCCGGCUAAAUACGUGCCAGCAGCCGCGGUAAUACGUAUGGACCGAGCGUUGUCCGGAAUCAUUGGGCGUAAAGGGUACGUAGGCGGCCUAGUAAGUUAGAAGUGAAAUAAUAUAGCUCAACUAUAUAAAGCUUUUAAAACUGCUAGGCUUGAGAGAUGGAAGGGAAAGUCGAAUUCCUAGUGUAGCGGUGAAAUGCGCAGAUAUUAGGAAGAAUACCGGUGGCGAAGGCGACUUUCUGGUCAUCAUCUGACGCUGAGGUACGAAAGCGUGGGUAGCAAACAGG
rnacentral:rRNA from 1 species